CAUUAAGUUGGGCACUCUAAGUUGACUGCCGGUGACAAACCGGAGGAAGGUGGGGAUGACGUCAAAUCAUCAUGCCCCGUAUGAUUUGGGCUACACACGUGCUACAAUGGACAAUACAAAGGGCAGCAAAACCGCGAGGUCAAGCAAAUCCCAUAAAGUUGUUCUCAGUUCGGAUUGUAGUCUGCAACUCGACUACAUGAAGCUGG
rnacentral:rRNA from 1 species